GCUAAGCAUCUGCUGAGGGCUCACUGUGCCUCUGUUUGUUCUCACUAUGUCAUGAUGGAAGACAAAAGCCACAUAGUAUCACAAAACGGCAAGCCUUUUGAGGUGUUCCCAUUAUGCAGUGGUUGGUACCUACCAAAAGUGGUGCAAGGUAGGACAACUGAUAAAACCGGGUCAUGGGUGCACAAGGCUCUUUGAUGCAUGUGGGGAGCAAAGGCUAGGCCGUCUGGUC